GUCAUAGUUCAGUGGUGGAACGUCUGCUUAACACGCAGAAGGUCGUAGGUUCGAUCCCUGCUGA
rnacentral:tRNA from 1 species